AUGUCUGUUGGCUUUCCUUGGAGAAACACAAGUUGGAGGUACGCUGCGUUCAUGCCUGACGCCCGGCGUGCACAGUUGCUUCCUCCGGGAGUCAAGUUGAUUCUGAGAGUGGCCAGGGCCGAGAGGCUGAGGUGCAGGUGCAGCAAGAGGGUGUCUUCGGCUCUUGCUCCGGUGGUGGCCAAGGGCGUGCCGCUGCUCGCCGUGGCGAGCACCACGGCGGCGUCAGCAGCCCCGAUGCUGGCCUCGGCGCUGGCGCUGGUGGACGAGCGGAUGUCAAGUGAGGCCACCGGGCUGAGCAACGACCUGCUGGGGUGGGUCCUUCUGGGUUCCAUCGGCCUCGUCUGGUGCUUCUAG
rnacentral:rRNA from 1 species